GUUGUGGGGGAAAUAGUUUGCAGUCACCUCUAAUGAGACAGGAAGUGUGUUUAGAGCUGAAAUGCUAGGUAGCCUGCAGUUAUUGUGUGGGAGAAGGGAAUUUGGGCUAGUAAAACCCAGGGGGAAGCUAGGCGGUAGAGCUAAGAAGUAGGAAGAAGCCCAGGGAACCAGUAGCAAGGGGUAGGACUGUGUAGACUUUGGCUGCUUGUUGUUGGGUCCCUGGGCUAGAACCCAGUGUAGAGGGUAGACCUGGGUUCCACUGCUAGCCACUGAGAAGUAGCAUAUCGGCAUUGGAGAUCUCAGCUGGCUGGAGAGAUUUUGUUACCCUGGAAAGGGAUGAUUAUAGUGACCAGGCUGGAGGCUUGAAUCAUAAAGCAGCACUCUGAGUCCUGGUGUGAGGAAGGAGGCGUUGGAUGUGUGCAGAGCUAAUCCCUAGAUGCGGCUAGAAGCAGAAAGCAGCAAAGCCCCAUUGAAGUCACCAGACAAGGCUAAAAGCCUUUAUGACUGCUGUUGAUGUUUGAAUCCUGGUACUGGAAUUCAGAGAAGGCACCACGCUGCUGUACCUAACGUACAGUGUGGCUAUAAGUGUCAGACACUAACUGGCUGCUUUUCCAACUUUUCACAGGGACAAGUGGAAAAUAACCUCCAUUUGGUAAAUUCCAAAGGCAGCAAAUUCCAAUAUUUUGUUAUAUGUUUAUUUUAACAUCAAAUAAAUUCCUAAGAACCUACUGGACAGCUGAUACAAGUACUUAAACCUGUGCAGUCUUGAGUCUGCAGCCUAUUAGAUUAACCCUGAAUUACAGAUUUUCAAUAUGUGAUCCUAACUUUGAAAUUACUGUACUAGUUUUUCUAUGUCAAAAGGCUUUUCUCCCCUAUUUCCUUAAUUGUAACACUAUUUGUUGCAAAUAAAAGCUUUUGAUUUCAA